GUUUCUGUGGUGUAAUGGUUAACGCACGGCCCUAGUUAGGCGCGGGACGUGGGUUCGAAUCCCGCUUGAGAUG
rnacentral:tRNA from 1 species